UACGGAGGGUGCAAACGUUGCUCGGAAUCAUUGGGCGUAAAGCGCACGUAGGCGGCCUGAUAAGUCGGGUGUGAAAGCCCUGGGCUCAACCCAGGAAGUGCACUCGAAACUGUCAGGCUUGAAUAUGGAAGAGGGUCGCGGAAUUCCCGGUGUAGAGGUGAAAUUCGUAGAUAUCGGGAGGAACACCAGUGGCGAAGGCGGCGACCUGGGCCAUUACUGACGCUGAGGAGCGAAAGCGUGGGGAGCGAACAGG
rnacentral:rRNA from 1 species